UACGUAGGUCCCAAGCGUUGUCCGGAUUUAUUGGGCGUAAAGCGAUCGCAGGUUGUUUCUUAAGUCUGAUGUAAAAGGCAUUGGCUCAACCAUUGUGUGCAUUGGAAACUGGGAGACUUGAGUGCAGGAGAGGAGAGUGGAAUUCCAUGUGUAGCGGUGAAAUGCGUAGAUAUAUGGAGGAACACCGGAGGCGAAAGCGGCUCUCUGGCCUGUAACUGACACUGAGGCUCGAAAGCGUGGGGAGCAAACCGG
rnacentral:rRNA from 1 species